rnacentral:rRNA from 1 species
GACGAACGCUGGCGGCGUGCUUAACACAUGCAAGUCGAACGGAGUGGCGAACGGGUGAGUAACACGUGGGUGACCUGCCCUGCACUUCGGGAGAAGCCUGGGAAACUGGGUCUAAUACCGGGUAGUGUGGGAUGGGCACGCGGCGUAUCAGAUUGUUGGUGGGGUAAUGGACUACCAAGGCGGCGACGGGUAGCCGGCCUGAGAGGGUGGACGGCCACAAGGGGACUGAGACAGGGCCCAGACGCAUACUGGGGGCAGCAGGGGGGAAUAUUGCACAAUGAGCGGAAGCCUGAUGACGAGACGCCGGGUGGGGGAUGACGGCCUUCGGGUUGUAAACUCCUUUCACCAUCGACGCGGUAGAUGGAGAAGAAGCACCGGCUAACUACGUGCCAGCAGCCGCGGUAAUUC